rnacentral:lncRNA from 7 species
AGAUGAAAUGCAUACAAAGAAAACUGAACUGAAGGACAUAGUGGAAGUCAACCAUGGAAAAGCCCUCAAGUGUUUCUAUUUCCUGGAUUUACUCUGAUGCGUAGCAUGUGGAUUCAGAAUAGCUCCACCAAAUACAGAGGAGAUGAGUGGCGUUUACUCUACUACAGAAGACUGAAGAGCAUAGGAUGUCAACAUGUCUCCACACGAGGAUGCAGAAAGAUAAGCUAGGCCCAAGAGAAGGCCACCUCAAGCCUUGGCACUGCUUGUGGUUCUUCUGUGGCCUUUGCCUGAACCAGAACUGAUCCUCACCUUCAGACCCAGGGAGGAGGACCUGUUCUGGCAGUGGGCAUCGGUCUCUUCCCCCAUGCCCAGAAAUCUUGGUGGAGGGCCAACUCCUGCAGCCUCUAUCCAUGCAUGAUGUGGACAGGAUCCCUGCAAAACCACUAGUGACAAAAUGUUGAGGCCAGUGAGUGAGGUAUAGUUUGUCCUGAGUGCCUUCCAGGUACAAAGAGAGCCCUAGUGUGUUGUAAUGGUGUUGGGUUUACAGCAUCCCCUAUCCCUCAGCAAUGGGCUUGAAGUGCCAUUUGAAGGUUCUGUUUGAUAUCAGUUACUUGCAUACCCCCAUACAGUCAGCAGAAAGCUUUCAGAACUACCAACUGUGUGAACAAGGAGCUUUACUUAGUGCAAACACAUGGUGAUGGCAGGUCUUUCCCGCUCCCUCUCUAAGGCAGGUAUUCUAUUGGCUGAUAACUAAGCUAAAUAUUAUUGAAGAUGUUCAUAUUGCAUUAUACUGUUUCUGCUGUGUGCUAUGACAUAUAUUGAGGCUACUUAAAAAAAAAAAAAGAAAAAGCUGUGAUGUCUACCACAAAGCAUUUAAAUCUUCUCGGAUCCCAAGAGAUUAUGAGAAACCAGAGAAGUGUGAUGGUUCUUUUAAUAGCAGUAAAACUCUAAUUUCAAUUUUAUGGAUUUUUUAUCAUUUCAAAGUGCUCAUUUUGCACUUAAAUCACAUUUUCUUUUUCUCCAAAAUCACGAGCAGUAAAAUCUGCUUUAAAACAUUGAAAAUGCUGAAGAAGGAAAAUGAAGGCAGAAAUCUCAAUUGAUUCAAUGUUGUUGGACUUGAAACACCAAAUAUUAUAAUAGAUGGUUUAUGAAAGGCAAAAAUGCUAUUCUGGUUUCUUUGGAAUAAAAGAAGUGUCAUUGAAUGAUAGAUACCUCACAUUUUACUAAAAUAAUACUUUACCUUCCAUUCAAGAAAGAAAAAAUAUAUAUCAAUUAACUAUGAUUAUUUCAAUUGUGUUUGAUUAUUUUUCCAUUUUCAUUGGAGAAAUUAGUGUAUUUUUCCAUAUAUUGUUUAUCCUAAAAGAUUGUCUUCAACAUGAAAUAACUUUGUAAGUGGUGAUUAAGCCAAGUGACUGACUCUGAAGUACCAGAGAAGAAUUAACCUGUGGCAAAACAUAUGUGAUUGUGUUAAACUAUGACUUCUAAUUUCAAUUACUAGAAAGCCUUUUUGGAACCUUAGUCUUGU